rnacentral:rRNA from 1 species
UACGUAGGUGGCAAGCGUUGUCCGGAUUUACUGGGCGUAAGGAGCGCGCAGGCGGUCGGAUCAGUCGAAUGUGAAAGCCCCCGGCUCAACUGGGGAGGGUCAUUCGAUACUGUCCGACUCGAAGGCAGGAGAGGGAAGCGGAAUUCCCGGUGUAGUGGUGAAAUGCGUAGAUAUCGGGAGGAACACCAGUGGCGAAGGCGGCUUUCUGGCCUGUUCUUGACGCUGAGGCGCGAAAGCUAGGGGAGCGAACGGG